UACAUGGGGUGCAAACGUUGCUCGGAAUCAUUGGGCGUAAAGCGCGCGUAGGCGGUUAUCUAAGUCGGAUGUGAAAGCCCUCGGCUUAACUGAGGAAGUGCAUCCGAAACUGAGUAGCUAGAGUACGAAAGAGGGUCGCGGAAUUCCCGGUGUAGAGGUGAAAUUCGUAGAUAUCGGGAGGAACACCGGUGGCGAAGGCGGUUCUCUGGGCCUUACCUGACGCUGAGGAGCGAAAGCGUGGGGAGCGAACAGG
rnacentral:rRNA from 1 species